rnacentral:rRNA from 1 species
UAGUCAUAUGCUUGUCUCAAAGAUUAAGCCAUGCAUGUCUAAGCACAAGCCGAUUAAUGGUGAAGCCGCGAAUGGCUCAUUACAACAGCCAUAGUUUCUUAGAUCUUACUUUUCUACUUGGAUAACUGUGGUAAUUCUAGAGCUAAUACACGCAAACAAGCUCAGACCUUACGGAAUGAGCGCAUUUAUUAGAACAAAAACCAAUCGGGCUUCGGUCCGUCAUUUGGUGAAUCUGAAUAACUUUGCUGAUCGCACGGUCUUCGUACCGGCGACAUAUCUUUCAAAUGUCCGCCUUAUCAACUUUCGAUGGUAGUUUAUGCGCCUACCAUGGUUGUAACGGGUAACGGAGAAUAAGGGUUCGACUCCGGAGAGGGAGCCUGAGAAACGGCUACCACAUCCAAGGAAGGCAGCAGGCACGCAAAUUACCCACUCCCGGCACGGGGAGGUAGUGACGAAAAAUAACGAGACGGCUCGCUAUGCGGUCCGUCAUCGGAAUGGGUACAAUUUAAAUCCUUUAACGAGGAUCUAUU